UCCAAAUGAAGCAUUGCUAAUAUAGAUUAAAAGUGAAUCAUAAUGAAUCCACAGCAGCCCUGUGAUUAAUCUAAACGUUUGUUUCUGUACUUCGCACCUGAUUAUCAGGUUUGGGUAGAGAUAGCAUAGACUCAUAACUUACAUUUAUGAAAAAGUGUUUCAAAGCAACCUCAGUUCACGUAUUUUGUCUUAGAGUGAAACUGUGACUUUUGUAGGUGUUAGCAUUGCAGCUAGCCAGCCCCCUCCAUCAAGUAUGAAAGGGGGCUGAGAAUCACACUUGUUUUGGCUUGUUGACAAUCAUAGCUUUUUGAGUGCACCCACACACACUUGAAGCAAGACGGUAGCCGCCUUGGCCCUCAGUAGACCAGGAGAACCGUGUCUGCCAGAUCCUUCAGCUGUAACUCCAAACAUUUUCAUGAAAUGUGAAUUAUGUAGAACCAACAAACUGUUAACGUCCUAACGUUUUUUUCCUUCUGUUUUUAGUUGGAAGAUUUGUGACGGCCCCCAGAUGAUGCACUGAAAAAAGCGAAACACGACCGCAGAAGUAUAAACCAAUGUCCACACUGGCCACAGACAAGCAGACACGUCCGAGAAGAAUGCAAGGGCGACGGCCUGGCAAGAGGAAGACGUGGGAUGAGGAGGAGGUUUCUGCUGUGGAAAGACCCAUGAUGUCCUUUAUCACAACAUGCCGGGUACCUGGUAAAACUGAUUGUGAUAACUGUUUGGACUUGGAGACAACAGCUCUUCCAAACAGGAAUUGGCUUGACAUUAAAUCUUAUGUCAAAAAUCGCCAUUACAGCUUUGAGAAAAGGAGGUUUGAAGCGGUAGUUGGCGAUGAAAUGUUUUGUUUUAUUGAGCCCACAUAAAGUUCCCCGUCUCUACAUAGCAGAAGAACAAGAAUGUUUUUCCACUUAUAGUUUUGAGUCAGUUUCAUUUAAAUCAGGGGUCUCAAACUCAAUUUACCUGGGGGCCACUGGAUGCAGAAACUGGGUGAGGCUAGGCCGCAGGAAAAGAUUUCUUAAAAAAAUCUAACAUGCACUUUUUAAUGAAUUCACCUUCUUUGAAUGGCUUUCCCGCCCUAGCAACAUACUUGCCAACACUCCCGAUUUUUCCGGGAGACUCCCGAAUUUCAGUGCCCCUCCCGACAAUCUCCCGGGGCAACCAUUCUCCCGAAUUUGUCCCGAUUUUCACCCGGACAACAUUAUUAAGGGCGUGCCGUGAAAGCACUGCCUUUAACGUCCUCUACAACUUCUCGUCGCAUCCGCUUUUUCACCAUACAAACAGCGUGCCGGCCCAGUCACAUGUUGUAUGAGGCUUCUGCAGACACACGUAAGUGAGGGUGGCCGUAUAAACAAGUUUAUCACUGUUACAAAUAUGUGCCACACUGUGAACCCACACCAAACAAGAAUGACAAACACAUUUCGGGAGAACAUCCGCACCGUAACACAACAUAAACACAACAGAACAAAUACCCAGAACACCUUGCAGCCCUAACUCUUCCGGGCUGCAAUAUACACCCUCGCUACCACCAAACCCCGCCCCCCCAACCCCGCCCACUUCACCCGAAGCACAGGGGGGGGGGGGGGUGUGGGGGGCCCGCGGGCCGCAAUUGGCGACCCCUGAUUUAAAUGAUUGAUUCAUAUUGUAAUGCUAAUGUUUUAAAAAAUCUGCUUGAGUUUGCAAAACAAUGUUUUGAUAUAAUUUAUUUUUCUUGCAUGAUAGCAGGGCUGUCCAACUAUUAAAAAUAGAUCAAUGUCUGUCUGUCACUUAAGAUGGCUCGUUGUGAUUGAAAGCUUAGACAUGGCAUCAUGGGAACUGACUGAGAGAGUUAUGUGUUGCAACUUGGUCUAACGGACUUAAAAAAUACGAGGAGAGACUUUGCACUUCAAAUCACGCAUUUUUGUGUCUUAUCAAUUCAACUCACAUAUUCAAAUUCAUAUAAAGUAUGAAUAUUUACCUUAGUACUCUCUUUCAGUGACUAUUAUCUUAUUUGCACCUUACAAAUAAUAUGCUCAAAUAAAUGUUCAACAGUAUCAAUGUUUAAGGUCCCUACAAAGUAAGUUAAACUUGAAUGUGUGUCAAAGGGUCCAAAGUAAGAGACAAAUCUAAA